GCCUAGCUCAGUCAGUAGCGCAUGAGACUCUUAAUGUCAGGGUCGUGGGUUUAAACCCCACGUUGGGCG
rnacentral:tRNA from 1 species